UAGGGAAUAUUCCGCAAUGGGCGAAAGCCUGACGGAGCAACGCCGCGUGAGUGAAGAAGAUCCUCGGAUUGUAAACCUCUGUCUUCGGUGAAGAAACAAAUGACGGUAGCCGAGGAGGAAGCCACGGCUAACUACGUGCCAGCAGCCGCGGUAAUACGUAGGUGGCAAGCGUUGUCCGGAAUUACUGGGUGUAAAGGGAGCGCAGGCGGGGAGACAAGUCAGCUGUGAAAACUAUGGGCUUAACCCAUAAACUGCAGUUGAAACUGUUUUUCUUGAGUGGAGUAGAGGUAGGCGGAAUUCCGAGUGUAGCGGUGAAAUGCGUAGAUAUUCGGAGGAACACCAGUGGCGAAGGCGGCCUACUGGGCUCUAACUGACGCUGAGGCUCGAAAGUGUGGGGAGCAAACA
rnacentral:rRNA from 1 species